CGACGUUUCUGCCUCUUAAAUGCAGUUUUUCCUUGCCACUGUCGCCAGAGUACAUUGACUGAGCAACAGCUAUCCACACUCAGAGCAAUUACAAAAAACAAACCUGGACGCUGCCCAGUACAACAAUUACUCUGGACCAUUCUAUCAGGGACAUGAACUGCUCCACCAUGAGACCAAGAAGAACAUCUCUGGUUUUCUUAGCUCAAGAAUCAGAGGAUAGACAGAUGGCGUGGGAAGUACUGAGAUCAGCCAACUCCUCUGCGUAUUGA